rnacentral:lncRNA from 1 species
GGGGGGGGGGGGGGGGGGGGGGGGGGGGGGGGGGGGGGGGGGGGGGGGGGGGGGGGGGGGGGGGGGGGGGGGGGGGGGGGGGGGAGGAAGAAGUGGCUGCCAUUGGCCGGAGAGAGACACGGGAGAGACGAGAGCAAGACAUUCGUGUAGCUGAAGCUGAUGGAAGGAGACGAAGAGAAGCUUUGAGGUUUGAAAGAGAGAGAGAGACCUCAGUGGCAGCAGCAAAAGCCGAUGUCAAAGUGCGCCGUGAGAUCCGGGAACGGGAACCACGAGAGGGGCUUAGGAGGAGGGACCGUCCCUGUGAUGAUGAAGAAGAAGCAGAAGCAGAGAGGAGAAUUUCCAGAGUCAGAGAGAGAGAAGAGGCCGUGAGGGAGAGGAGAAUCAAUCAGGAACGUGAGCUGGAGGUCUCUGAGCGCCGCAGCCGCCGGGCACGCGAAAGGGAGGCAGAGGUGACCACCAGUGACCAGAGGGAGGCACGGGAGGCCAUCAAGCUCGAGGUGCUGGAGGAGGAAGAUGAAGAGGAGCUGGAGCAGGGACGGUGCCGCUACCAGACCCUGGACGUGGACACCGGCGAUCUCUGCCCCCCUGGACCGGUCAGUGACCUCAGGGUCCGGUACCUCCCCGCUGACCCCGAUGUCCAGCCUGAGGUCCGGCUGCUCCCCGAGCCCGUGGACCCUCAGACCGUGGCCUACUUGGUGCACGUGAUCCAGAACCAGGAUGAUCCCAAAGGUGCCACCUACGAGAUCGUGUGCCACCAGCCCGGGCAGCCCACACGCAUCCGGACCUGCUCCGUGUGCCCGAGGCCACCGCGGGCUGAGGCCACCAAAUCCCAGGAAAAUCCCCCUGAGGAUCUGGAUGAACCCAGGGAAAGGUCUGGGAAAGAGGUGAAAGACAGAGCUGCCCGGGAUUUCGCUGAGCCGGAGGCUGUGGAUGGCGAGAGGGUGAAAUCCAAGGAGAUCCAGAGGCGCCCAGAGAUCCCUGAGGUGGAGCAGGAUCAGCUGCAGGGUGAGGGAUCCCAAAAAAUCCCACCGGAGUGCCAGGACAGCGAGGCCAAGAGCUGCCCCCUGGCUCCAGAAGCUCGGGAAUGUCAGGAUCCAGAGCAGAGAGAUCCCGGAGAAACCCGCAGGGAGGGGAUCCAGGAGGCUCCUGAGGAGGAAUCCAGCAAGAGGAGCCGCCGGGAAUCCGGCAAUUCCCGAGUUUCUCGGGAAGGUGGCACCAAGCAGGGCCAGGAGCCCUCGCAGGUGGCCCCGAGCUGCCCCAGGGAUGAAUCCAAGAAAUCCUGA